AGUAAUGUCUGGGAAACUGCCUGAUGGAGGGGGAUAACUACUGGAAACGGUAGCUAAUACCGCAUAAUGUCGCAAGACCAAAGUGGGGGACCUUCGGGCCUCAUGCCAUCAGAUGUGCCCAAAUGGGAUUAGCUAGUAGGUGGGGUAACGGCUCACCUAGGCGACGAUCCCUAGCUGGUCUGAGAGGAUGGCCAGCCACACUGGAACUGAGACACGGUCCAG
rnacentral:rRNA from 1 species